GUAUUAUUGUAAAAAAUAAAAAAAAGGUAAUGGCAAGAGUGCAAGCAUAAUUAAUAGCAGGAACAUUUAGGGAUUUUUUUAAAAUAUAAAAACUAAACAAAUAUUUAACUCAAAAUAUAAGGAUUGAACAAGCAUUUAUCCGACCUUACUAUAUCUUAUGUUGACACAUAAUCAAUGGGUAUUUUUGCUUUCGCACGUGAGGAAGUCUUUAUUCUCACCCAUAUAUAAGGUCCGGCCCAUUAAGAGUUAUACAUUUACUCAAUAAUCAAUAUGUUGGUGUAAGAAAGUAGAAGAAUACUAGAAUCCUCAUUGCUGUCUCAUGUUUGUCUCCAUACUAGUAGUAGUGGUGGCAGGAGUGUGUUGGGUUGAAUAAGUGAUGGUUGUCAACGCCAGCAAAAAUAAAUACCUACUCUAAAUAAAUUGUGUAUAGUGAUUGAAUAUGGUUGUGUCCACAGAGAUCGGUAAUUAUUUAAAUCCUUUUAAAAUGUAAAAUGCAAAAUGGGGGGAUUGUUGACAAUAAUAAAAAUCAAAUUAAAAUAACAAAAAUGCAAAUUAAAAUUGUAAUUCAAGUUGGGAAAAACUCUGGUUGAAGGAAUUAACUCAGCUUGAUUCGACUACUAAUCAUUGAUUCAAAUAUAAAUCAUUACUACUUAUGAAUAGAUCAGUUAUAGGUACUGAGACCCUCUAAUAGCAAAUCUCUCCCUAACUAGUCGAUAACCGAGGUACGACCAUUGGUUAUUUCCCUAAUCAAUAGACAACUCUAGACACGAUCAUAGAGUUUAAUCAAUUGACAGCCUGAAAAACCAGAGAGACCCAAAUCCUAAUCAACAAACGCAUACGAUGAUUCAUUUAAAUUAGAUUAUUUAUUCUCAUAACACAACGCACUGCUAUGCUAUUUAUCACAAACAUUAAAAUCUUCAUACAAUGAAUCUUUUAAUUCACAAUAGAUUAAGUUGAUAAUUAAAUAGUGGUCAAUUAUCUAAUUAACAAACAUAAUCAUGACAAUAAUUUAGUGAUGGGUGUCGAAGCCAACAAAAAUAAAUUCCUACUCUAAAUAAAUUGUGUAUAGUGAUUGAGCAGGGUCAUGUCCACAGAGAUCGGUAAUUAUUUAAAUCAUUUUGAAACGUAAAACGUAAAAUGAGGGAAUUGUUGACAAUAAUAAAAAUCAAAUUAAAAUAACAAGAAUGCAAAUUAAAGUUGUAAUUUAAAUUGGAGAAAGCUCUGGUUGAAGGAAUUAACUCAGCUUGAUUCGACUACUGAUCAUUGAUUUAAGUAUAUAUUAUUAUUACUUAUGAAUAGACCGGUUAUAGCUAUUGAGACCCUCUAAUAGCCAAUUUCUCCUUAACUAGUCGAUAACCAAGGUACGACCGUUGGAUAUUUCCCUAAUCAAUAGACAACCCUAGAUACGAUCAUAGGAUUUAAUCAAUUGACAGCCUGAAAAACUAGAGAGACCCAAAUCCUAAUCAACACAUAUGAUGAUUCAUUUAAAUUAGAUUGUUUAUUCUCACAACACAACUCUCUGUUAUGUUAUUUGUCACAAACAUUAAAUUCUUCAUACGAUGAAUCAUUUAAUUGACAAUAGAUUAAGUUGAUAAUUAAAUAGUGGCCAAUUUCCUAAUUAACAAACAUAAUCAUGAAACUAAUUCAGAGAAUAAACAAAUACCUAAAAAGUAAUAAAACAAUUAAAGCAUAAGAAAGAUCUCACAGUAGUGAUGAAUCAAAGCUUCAUUAACCUCAACCAGAAAAAUAAGUUUAGUUCUUCAUAGAGAGAAGAGAAAAAUUAGAUCUAGGGUUUCUUUCUUUUUCUCCAAUCUCAAUCCCCCUUUUUGUUAGAGUGCAAUUUAUGCACUAGUUUUGCAUUGUUUACUUCCCUUAAUAUCGAUGUUUUGCACUUAAUAAUAGUGAUUUACUUGUGUUUUACUUUUGUAGGUGCAAUUCUAUUGAUUGGUGAUAAAAUUGAGCUAUAAGAUGAUGUUUAAGGAUGAUUGUUCACUUGGAGAAAUUUAGAGAGUCAGAAGAACUUUGUUGAUAAGGCGUGGGCGCGUGCUGUCAACUGCGAACCUGCAGUUUUUAGUUUAACGUGUUUUCUAUUUUUGGUUAUUUUUGUAAUUACGAAUUUAAUAUUUCAGAUAUUAGUAUUUUAUUUUAAAUAGAAUUCUAGAGGAGAAGAGAGAGAGAGUAUUUAAGGGAGGAAUCAAUUGUGAAAAAAGGAGAGAUUUUGGAUUGAAGGAAAAGAAAGAAACCCUAGAUCUAAUUUUUCUCUUCGCUUUAUGAAGAACUAAACUUAUUUUUCUAGUUGAAGGAUAAUGAAGCUUUAAUUCAUCACUACUGUGAGAUCUUUCUUAUGUUUUAAUUGUUUUAUUACUUUUUGGGUAUUUGUUUAUUCUCUGAAUUAGUUUCAUGAUUAUGUUUGUUAAUUAGGUAAUUGGCCACUAUUUAAUUAUCAACUUAAUCUAUUGUCAAUUAAAGGAUUCAUCGUAUGAAGAUUUUAAUGUUUGUGACAAAUAACAUAGCAGUGAGUUGUGUUAUGAGAAUAAACAAUCUAAUUUAAAUGAAUCAUCAUAUGUGUUGAUUAGGAUUUGAGUCUCUCUGAUUUUUCAGGCUGUCAAUUGAUUAAAUCCUAUGAUCGUAUCUAGGGUUGUCUAUUGAUUAGGGAAAUAUCCAACGGUCGUACCUUGGUUAUAGACUAAUUAAGGAGAGAUUGGCUAUUAGAGUGUCUCAAUAGCUAUAACCGGUCUAUUCAUAAGUAAUAAUAAUCUAUAUUUGAAUCAAUGAUCAGUAGUCGAAUCAAGCUGAGUUAAUUCCUUCAACCAGAACUUUCUCCAAUUUGAAUUACAACUUUAAUUUACAUUCUUGUUAUUUUAAUUUGAUUUUUAUUAUUGUCAACAAUUCCCCCAUUUUACGUUUUACGUUUCAAAAGGAUUUAAAUAAUUACCGAUCUCUGUGGACACGACCCUGCUCAAUCACUAUACACAAUUUAUUUAGAGUAGCAAUUUAUUUUUGUUGGCUUCGACAACCAUCAAAUUUUGGCGCCGUUGCCGAGGAUUGGUGUCGUUUAUUUAAUCCUUUUUACGUUUCACUUGGUGUAUGGUUCGUUCUUCUCGUACAGGUACACUUUCGUUUGAUCCUGAAAUUGAGAAGACAGCUCGCCAGCUGAGACAGCAGACGAAGCGAGCUAAGCAACGAUCCUCGUCGCCUUUGCUUUCUGAAACAGAUACAGUGCCUGAUUUAGUUGAAUCAUCUAGCGAUUCAGAAGAACAAGUAAUGGAUAGACCUGCACAUGUAGAAAGAACUCUUAGAGAGUUAGCUGAACCAGACUUGAAUCAGCAACCACUCUGCAUCCAAUAUGUAGAUUUGGAAGUAAAUUUUGAAUUAAAGUCUGGUCUUAUUCAUUUAUUACCCAAGUUUCAUGGUUUUGCAGGUGAAGAUCCUCAUAAACAUCUUAAGGAGUUUUAUGUUGUGUGUUCAAGUAUGAGACCACAAGGCGUGACUGAAGAGCAGAUUAAGCUGCGUGCUUUUCCGUUCUCUGUAGAUGGGCUAGCUAAAGAUUGGUUGUACUACUUGCCUUCUGGAUCGAUUACAACGUGGAAUGGUUUGAAGAAGCAGUUCCUUGAGAAGUACUUUCCUACUUCAAGAGCUGCCAACAUUAGAAAAGAUAUUUGUGGGAUCAGACAACUUCCUGGGGAGACUUUGUAUGAGUAUUGGGAGCGAUUCAAACAAUUGUGUGCCAGUUGUCCUCAGCAUUAGAUUUCUGAUCAACUUCUUAUUCAAUAUUUUUACGAAGGACUGUCAUUGAUGGAUAGGAGUAUGAUAGAUGCUGCUAGUGGAGGCGUGUUGGUGAACAAGACCCCUACUCAAGCAAGGGAGUUGAUAUCAAAUAUGGCUGCCAAUGCACAACAAUUUGGCAGUAGGCAAGAUCUCAUUUCAAGAAAGGUGAAUGAGGUAAAUAUUUCUUCUGUUGAACAACGUUUAGAUAAACUUACUUCUCUUAUGGAAAAGUUUGUUGUAGGUAAUGUGCAAUAGGUGAAGACUUGUGGCAUUUGUUACAAUAUAGGUCAUUCAACUGAUAUGUGUCCUACACUUCAAGAAGAACCCGUUGAACAAGCCAAUGCAAUUGGAGGAUUUCCAGGCAUGCCUUAGAGGAGGUAUGAUCCUUAUGCACAAACAUACAAUCCGGGAUAGAAGGAUCAUCCCAACUUCAGCUAUGGAGUUAGGCCGUCAGGAUUCCCACAACAGUAUCCACCAAGACAACCAACACCUCCACAGUCAAACUCCAAGUCAGGUAUAUCUCUUGAAGAAAUUGUUAAAUCACUUGCGACUAACACUCAACAAUUUCAGCAGGCAACUACAGCAAGCAUUCAGAACUUGGAGAACCAAAUGAGUCAAUUGGCGACUACAGUGAGCCGUCUGGAGUCUCAAGUAUUAGGGAGAUUGCCUUCACAAUCUGAGGUGAAUCCAAAGCAAAACGUUAGUGCUGUCAUCCUUAGAAGUGGGACGGAGUUGCAAGAGCCUAGUAAGAAAGUAACAAAGUAUGUAGAAGAUGAGCUUGAGAAUAAUGAAUUGAUGCCUAAAUCUCAAGAUGCGCAACCCACCAGAGCGAAACCUUUACCUAUUGUGAUACCUCCUCCUUUUCCAAGCCGGUUUGCAAAAUCCAAGAAGGAGGAACAAGAGAAAGACAUCCUUGAGACAUUUCGCAAGGUUGAGGUAAAUAUUCCUUUAUUAGAUGCUAUAAAACAAAUACCUCAAUAUGCUAAAGUCCUUAAGGAACUAUGCACCUCUAAGAGAAAAUUAAGAGGAGAUGAAAAAGUUCACAUGGGGGAGAAUGUUUCAGCAGUUCUUCAAAAGAAACUACCUCCUAAGUGCAAGGAUCCAUGUAUGUUUACUAUCCCUUGUAAAAUUGGUAGUGUUAGAAUUGAAAAGGCUUUGUUAGAUCUAGGAGCUUCUAUUAAUGUCAUGCCUCGUUCUAUUUAUUCAUCUUUGAAUAUUGGUCCAUUAAAAGAAACUGGCGUGAUAAUUCAACUAGCCGAUAGGUCUAAUGCAUAUCCUGAUGGGGUAUUAGAAGAUGUCUUAGUACAAGUUAAUGAGUUGGUUUUUCCUGCUGAUUUUUAUGUACUUGAUAUGGAAGAGGAUAACUCCUCUAAUUUUGUCCCAAUUUUGCUAGGAAGACAUUUUCUUAAGACUGCUAGGACUUAAAUAGAUGUACAUAAAGGGACUCUCACUAUGGAGUUUGAUAGAGAGGUUAUAGAAUUCAAUAUGAAUGAUGCCAUGAAAUAUCCUAGUGAGGAACAUUCGGUAUUUUCUGUGGAUGUUAUUAACCCUAUAGUGCAGGCAGUUUUUUACAAGAAAAAGACGAAGACAUUUCAUGAUAGAAUGAUUUUGAGAAACGAGUUCUCUGUUGGUCAAAAAGUUCUUCUUUUUCAUUCUAAACUUAAACUUUUUCUGGGUAAAUUACGUUAUUGCUGGGUUGGACCUUUUAUUGUUACUAAUGUUUUUCCUCAUGGUGCAGUUGAGAUUCAAAAUCCGACCUCUGACAAAGUUUUUAAGGUUAACGGUCAUCGCUUAAAACCUUUUUAUGAAGGUUUUUCGGUGAAUAUUGUGGAGGAUGUGGCUCUUGAGAGUCCCAAUUAUGGAGAUUGAUGCAUAAAUGUGUCUAGCCAAAUACAUAAAACAAAUGCGCUUUUUGGGAGGCAACCCAAAUGAUUUGUUUAUUUUGGUUUUUGUUUUAUCUUCUUUUAGUUUUGAUUCAGAUUUAAAAAAAAAAUUUAAUGUGUUUGCUUAUCUUGGUCAGAAGAAAAUUUUUGAUAAGGCGUGCCCACGUUUUAACUAAUAAGUACUUCUGAAAUUUUUAAAGUAAAAUAGUUUUAAGGCAUGCCCACGUACUUAUUAGAAAAGUACUUCUGAAAUUUUUAGUGUCUCAAAAAAAAAAAUUUAAUGUGUUUGCUUAUUUUGGUCAGAAGAAAAUUUUUGAUAAGGCGUGCCCACGUGCUUAUUAGAAAAGUACUUCUGAAAUUUUUAGUGUUUCAAAGUGAUUCAUCACUAAAAAAAAAAAAAAUAGCAAUGUAUUUAUUUAUUUAUUUUUUCUAUCUUUUCUUUCUUUUAUAUAUAUAUAUAUAUAUUUUUUAUUUAAAAAAAAUAAAAAAAAACACAAAAAUCACAAAUCACUGUUCACAAAUCCCUAAUUCAAAAAAAAAAAAAUUUCACUGUUGAUUAUCUUUCUCACCCGCAACAACCAGCAACCAGCAGUCGCAGCCCACGCAUCAGCAGCAGCCGCGCGCAACGCAACGCAGCACCAGCAUCCCGCGACCAACGAGCAGCAACUCGCGCGCGCAGAUUCAGUUCCACCCGCAGCGCGCAGUAUCCCACAACGCAGCCCCAGCAGCACGAAUCAGCGUCACCAACGCAACCAGCCUGCGCGCAGCAAGCUCCAGCCAUCACCAUCGCGCAGCGCAUCAGUCCCGCGCGCGCAACGCAACGCAGCACCAGCAUCCCACGUCUAGCAAGCAGCAACUUGCACGCACAGAUCCAGCCUUCGUCCAGCAGCGCAUAGAACCAGCGUCAGCCCAGUUCUCGCGCACAACACAGCCCACGCAGCGUGCAGAUCCAGCAGCCCCAGCGCGCGCGCGCAACACAAUCAGCGCCAUCCCGCGUCCAUCAAGCAAGCUCCAGCCAAGCAGCAAUCACAACGCAACCAGCCUACGACCUGUAUUCCAGCCGGGUAAAUCGAAAUCCGUGAGUGCAAUCAUUGUAACAAUGCCGAAGAGGAAAGCAUUAAGCAUCUAAUUCCAAGUCAUCUAAAAAGACACCCGUCGCAAAGAAAUCGAAGAUUGCCGCUCCCACUAUGGUUCCAUGGAACACAAUUUCGGAUUCACGCUAAGCCGUAAGACAAAGAUCGAAACAUGGAAAAAGCAUGAGUGUUUUGCCACUUGCGGAAUCCAAUCUCGGAGGGUGCCUCGCAUUCGCGACUCAACAAGAGAAAAAGAGGAAUUUUUGGAUAUGUCUGUGUUUGAAAGAACAGGUGUUGUCGAAUUCAAGGAGGGGAGAUUUUAGUUUACUGAACCAGGACCCACUCAACCUCCAAAGAAGCUUUAUGCUAGGAGUGGUGCUACCUCUGAUGAUGAGUUUGACGACGACACUGCUGCCCCACCAACUAUUCCUUCUACAUCUGCACCACCUUUGAGCAUUCAGUUAGAAAAAAUAGAGCACAAGCUGAACAAGAUGGAGCAGAAUUUGGCCGCAUACUUCGAGAGUGUGGGAUUUACCCCACCAUUUCCGCCAAGCCCAUAGACGUUAUGUGGAUCAAAGCUCACAAUUCAGGGAAGUUUCUUUUUGCCUUUAAUCUUUUAUCCUUACGCUUUAAUUUUUAUGUGAGCUUUGAUUAUCUUACAUUAGGGACAAUGUAAGUUCUUGGUGUGGGGGAGGGAUUUUUGCAUUAUUGAUGCCUGGAAUUAUUAUUUUCACUCUACUCAUUUAUUUUCACUCUACUCAUCCUUAAAUGAUUUUUGAGUUAGUAUUCUUCAUAUAUUAUUAAUUUUCUUUUCCUUUCUCUCUCACUACUCUUUUCCCAUCUAUCUCAAAUUAUUUACAUCUAUUUUUUUCUAUCAUAUUCUUUCAUCACUCACAUUUUAUCUUUCAAUUUUCUUUUUACUACAUACAUCUUUCUCGCUUAUUAUCCUUUUUACCUUUCCUUUUAUUUCUCACUCAUACCUUCUUCUCAUUCUACACCACUGUUGAUGGUUGAUUCAUUUGAAGAGUGUACACGAUUUGAUGGCAAAUUUACCAACUUUGUGAAGAUUUGAGCCUAUGAGCAACCACUUUGCUAUAAUUAUUUUUGUUAUGUGAAUAUCAAUCCUAGUUUGUUUAUUCUAGAACUUGCUUUGUUAUGCAUGUUGAAGCCACGUUACGGGAUUUUAUGCAUUAAAAUGAUAAGGGCAAACCAUUUACCAUUUUUCUAUUCUCGCAUUUUUCUUUUUCUCUACCCGAAGACCUUUAAUUGCUACCUUUGUUUGAGCCUUAACCAUUACCCAUCUAAUUCUCUCCAUUUACUUAACCAUUUUUCUUCUUUUUGAGCCUCAAUUUAAGGAGAUUUUUGGACUCAUUGUGUGGAUAUAUUUUGUUGCUUUUUCUACCUUGUAUUAAAGUUUCUCAAUUAGAUCAACAAGCAUUAUGCUUGAAUUAAAUUGUGCAAGGUUCGUUUCUUUGUUUUGAUUCAAAAAAAAAAACAAAACAAAAAAAAGGAAAAAGAAAAAAAAGAGGAAAAAGAAAAAAAAAGAAAAAAAAGAAAAAUCGAAAAAAAAGAAGAAGUUUACAUUCUUGGUGACUUGAGUAGAAAUAAGCAUUUUGAUAUCAUAAGUUCAUUCAAUGAGUUCAUUCUUCUCAUUUUGAUCUUUUUUUUCUCUUUCAUGGACCUUUCUUUUUCAUUUAACCUAUUUAACCCCAUUACAACCAUUUUAAGACCCUUAGAUUUUUGCAUUUUAUUCAUGUUUUGUGGAUUGAGAUGUGAUAUAUGAGCAAUCUUAUGGUAAUAGCAUUCUUUGAUUUGAUUUGAGUGAAUAAAUGACACCCUAAACACUUUGAGUGCAUAGAGUGAAGUUAUUGAGAGGGCUAUUAAAUCUUGUUGCACUUGAAUUUUGAAUGGAUCUUCUUGGUGGUUGAAUGUUCUUAUUCUAUCUUAUGAAAUUCUAUGCUCUAAAAUCCUUGUCUCUCGAAUGUUGAUCGACUUAAUUUCUUGAGGUUUGCUUGCUUAAAAUUGUUUUUGGAUGAGUUGAGAUGAGAAUUGAGUGGAGAUUUGGAAUUAAUCUUGACUUAUAUGCUUGAGGACAAGCAUCAUCUUGGUGUGGGGGAAUUUGUUAGAGUGCAAUUUAUGCACUAGUUUUGCAUUGUUUACUUCCCUUAAUAUCGAUGUUUUGCACUUAAUAAUAGUGAUUUACUUGUGUUUUACUUUUGUAGGUGCAAUUCUAUUGAUUGGUGAUAAAAUUGAGCUAUAAGAUGAUGUUUAAGGAUGAUUGUUCUCUUGGAGAAAUUUAGAGAGUCAGAAGAACUUUGUUGAUAAGGCGUGGGCGCGUGCUGUCAACUGCGAACCUGCAUUUUUUAGUUUAACGUGUUUUCUAUUUUUGGUUAUUUUUGUAAUUACGAAUUUAAUAUUUCAGAUAUUAGUAUUUUAUUUUAAAUAGAAUUUUAGAGGAGAAGAGAGAGAGAGUAUUUAAGGGAGGAAUCAAUUGUGAAAAAAGGAGAUAUUUUGGAUUGGAGGAAAAGAAAGAAACCCUAGAUCUAAUUUUUCUCUUCUCUUUAUGAAGAACUAAACUUAUUUUUCUGGUUGAAAGAUAAUGAAGCUUUGAUUUAUCACUACUGUGAGAUCUUUCUUAUGUUUUAAUUAUUUUAUUACUUUUUGGGUAUUUGUUUAUUCUCUGAAUUAGUUUUAUUACUGUGAGAUUUUGGUUUAGUUCCUCAUAGAGAUAAGAGAAAAAUUAGAUCUAGGGUUUCUUUCUUUUUCUCCACAUCCCCCUUUUUCACAAUAAAUUCCUCCCUUAAAUACUCUCUCUCUCUUCUCCUCUAGAAUUCUAUUUAAAAUAAAAUACUAAUAUCUGAAAUAUUAAAUUCGUAAUUACAAAAUAACCAAAAAUACAAAACACGUUAAACUAAAAACUGCAGGUCUGCAAUUGACAGCACGCUCCCACGCCUUAUCAACAAAGUUCUUUUGAGGCUCAUAAUUUCUCCCAGAGAACAAUCAUCCUUAAACAUCAUCUUAUAGCUCAAUUUUAUCAUCAAUCAAUAGAAUUUCACCUACAAUAGUAAAACACAAGUAAAUCACUAUUAUUAAGUGCAAAACAUUGAUAUUAAGGGAAGUAAAUAAUGCAAAACUAGUGCAUAAAUUGCACUUUAACAUUUAGAGAAUAAACAAAUACCCAAAAAGUAAUAAAACAAUUAAAGCAUAAGAAAGAUAUCAUAGUAAUGAUGAAUCAAACCUUUAUUAACCUUCAACCAGAAUAAUAAGUUUAGUUUUUCAUAGAGAGACGAUAAAAAUUUAGAUUUAGGGUUUCUUUUUCUUCCCCCUUCAAAAAUCUCCUUCUCCCCUUGUUUUUCCAAGGGUUUUUCCAAAAAUAAAAUAU
rnacentral:lncRNA from 1 species